UAGACGGGGACCCGCACAAGCGGUGGAGCAUGUGGUUUAAUUCGAAGAUACGCGAAGAACCUUACCUGGGCUUGAUAUCCUAAGAACCUUAUAGAGAUAUGAGGGUGCUAGCUUGCUAGAACUUAGAGACAGGUGCUGCACGGCUGUCGUCAGCUCGUGUCGUGAGAUGUUGGGUUAAGUCCCGCAACGAGCGCAACCCACGUAUUUAGUUGCUAACGGUUCGGCCGAGCACUCUAAAUAGACUGCCUUCGUAAGGAGGAGGAAGGUGUGGACGACGUCAAGUCAUCAUGGCCCUUAUGCCCAGGGCGACACACGUGCUACAAUGGCAUAUACAAUGAGACGCAAUACCGCGAGGUGGAGCAAAUCUAUAAAAUAUGUCCCAGUUCGGAUUGUUCUCUGCAACUCGAGAGCAUGAAGCCGGAAUCGCUAGUAAUCGUAGAUCAGCCAUGCUACGGUGAAUACGUUCCCGGGUCUUGUACUCACCGCCCGUCACACCAUGGGAGUUGAUUUCACUCGAAGCCGGAAUACUAAACUAGUUACCGUCCACAGUGGAAUCAGCGACUGGGGUGAAGUCGUAACAAGGUAACCGUAGGAGAACCUGCGGUUGGAUCACCUCCUUUCUA
rnacentral:rRNA from 1 species